AAGGAAUAUUGCUCAAUGGGAGAAAUCCUGAAGCAGCAACGCCGCGUGGAGGAUGAAGGGUCUAUGACUUGUAAACUCCUGUAAAGAAGGAAAAAAUUCCCAUUAGAUGGGAGAUGAUGGUACUUCUGGAGUAAGCCCCGGCUAACUACGUGCCAGCAGCCGCGGUAAUACGUAGGGGGCAAGCGUUGUCCGGAUUUACUGGGUGUAAAGGGUGCUCAGGCGGAUUUGUAAGUCAGAGGUGAAAUCUCACAGCUUAACUGUGAAACUGCCUUUGAUACUGCAAGCCUAGAGUAUGGAAGAGAGUGAUGGAAUAUCUGGUGUAGCAGUGAAAUGCGUAGAUAUCAGAUAGAACACCAAUGGCGAAGGCAGUCACUUGGUCCAUUACUGACGCUAAAGCACGAAAGCGUGGGUAGCAAACA
rnacentral:rRNA from 1 species